AUUGAACGCUGGCGGCAGGCCUAACACAUGCAAGUCGAACGAGUGGCGGACGGGUGAGUAAUGUCUGGGAAACUGCCUGAUGGAGGGGGAUAACUACUGGAAACGGUAGCUAAUACCGCAUACCAUCGAAUGUGCCCAGAUGGGAUUAGCUAGUAGGUGGGGGAAAUGCUCAACUAGGCGACGAUCCCUAUCUGGUCUGAGAGGAUGAACCGCCACACUGGAACGGAGACCGGUUCCACACUCCUACGGUAGUCAGCAGUGGGUAAUAUUGCACAAUGGGCGCAAGCCGGAUGCAGCCAUGCCGCGUGUAUGAAGAAGGCCUUCGGGUUGUAAAGUACUUUCAGCGGGGAGGCGUGACCCGCAGAAGAAGCACCGGCUAAAUCCGUGCCAGCAGCCGCGGUAAUUC
rnacentral:rRNA from 1 species